rnacentral:rRNA from 1 species
AGUCUGNAACCCGACUCCGUGAAGCUGGAUUCGCUAGUAAUCGCGCAUCAGCCAUGGCGCGGUGAAUACGUUCCCGGGCCUUGUACACACCGCCCGUCACACCAUGGGAGCCGGAAAUGCCCGAAGCCAGUGACCCAACCUUAGGGAGGGAGCUGUCGAAGGUGGAGCCGGUAACUGGGGUGAAGUCGUAACAAGGUACC